UCCCCUGUAGCUCAAUUGGCAGAGCGUUCGGCUGUUAACCGAUAGGUUCCGGAUCGCCCCGGGCGGGGGCC
rnacentral:tRNA from 1 species